AGCUGCGCGUUCCCAUGCGCAGAGCGCUCAAGUUCAAACCGAUGCGCAGUAGUCUUCUGCACAUUCAGUAAAAUUUCGUGUCACCGAGAGAGGACCACGUCGGAAUUUCUAUUACGCAUUAUUCAUAUUAUUCGUACGUUUUGAUUCGCAAAUAAUGGUGUGAUUAGAAUAAUAUCACGUUAUAACGUCCCAUGUUGUUCGUCGUGAUCGUGUAAAUGAACCAUAAGUGAUAAUAACAGUGAUCAUGUGCGAAAGAAUCGACGAAAAAUUUUCUAACCGUACGUACCACCACCAUAUUUGUUUUUCUCACGGUUCAAAGUGACUUGCAAAUGUCCUGAUACAAGUACACUUGUCGGUGACUCAAUAGUGUAACGCUUUUUUAGCCGACCUACCUCGGGCUCGAUGAAUGUUUAUCCGCAUGUUGAACUGUGCUGGAAACUCUCGUUCGACCUCCACUUCGGGAGCCACUUCAGGAUGCUGUGCCGAAGAAUGGAACACCGACGAAGGAAUCUCUGAAAGGAUGAAGAGCUCUAAAUUCGAGCUAAUAGUCGCAGAACGUGGUGGGCGGUAUGCUGAGUUCCAGAUUCUUCAAGGGCAAAGAUACAACGGAAUACAAGAUUACGGAAGAAACGACGAAAAAUGCCGCAGGCAACCGUUCCUCUCUUUACAACUUUGCGUCUUGUCAGAUCAACGGGAACGAGAGAGAAAGAGAGAGAGAGAAGCUUUUCCCGAUCGAUAAAUCAUCCGCCCAAUCCGAUCGAUCUUCGCCUCGUGUCGACGACUUGAAGAAAACGGGACCAUAUCGUGGAACAAUACGUCGGAUGGAAUGGCUCGGCUCGAACGGAUCCCAGAGAAUUUGCGACAGUAUAAAUUUCCCGGCUGACAAUCACCCACCGCGCUGACGCGUUCCAGGAGGCGAAGGAGGAACUUCUAUGAAGAUCGAAUCUCGACAAAUGCAAAUUUGUGGCUCGCCUGCGAGAAAAAGCUGGGACAGAUGGAAGCUUGAAGCCACCCACCUGUCUGAGAGAAAUCUCAGAGAAUCUCGUCAAGCCGGGGAACGACAACUCGACGAAGAAUCGUAUCCCCGAGCCUUAAGGAAGAAAUCUUGGGUGAUGAGCGAAGCGACAGAAUAAUCCUCGCCGUGGGACGUCUCCUCGGAUACGCAGGUGCGGAACGCGGUGCCACGGGGCUCGGGAGCGGAUAAUCGAUUAAUCGAUUGUGCGCUCAUCGAUGCCGGGCUGGUGGAUGGAGGCUAGGCGCACAAGAGGAGCCGAGCUGCAUCCAGAGUAUUCGACCGCGUCCCAACAAUUAGCCUGAGAACGAGCGAGCGAGCGAGCUAGCUAGCGAUUUGUCGCGCAAGAUUUAUAGCUUCAUACAUCCCGAGGAGAGGAGAUUUCUGCACUUCUCUCCGCCAGAGCCCUUCCGGACGCUCGCUCCCUCUCGAGAGACCAUACGCGGCGCGCACAAUCGAGAAACCGGCCAGAGUCCUAUCCUCGUGCGUCUAAACGGUUUGACAUCCGCUUAGAGAGACUACGGUUGGAUCUUCAACGAGAUCAACGAGAGAUCCGUCGUUGACCGGCUGUCCAACGGCCGCCAUCCUUAACCGUGAGUUACCGGAAUGCAGGAGAGGAGAGGGAUAUCCGUCGUCGAUCGACGUGUCUUCCGGUUCGAGGGGAUCGAAAGGGAAGGGAAAGAGACGAGAAAAAGGAAAAGGAAAAAAAGAAGGAUACGCGUGGAAAGUAAUUCUUUUUUCGGAUAUCUCGUUUGGGAGGAGGAAGCGAAGUGUUUAAAGAAUAGAUACUCGUACAGAAUCGAUCCGCGCAAACGCAUUUGGCGGAGAUUAAUUUACUUGAAUGAUAGAGAAAUCGCUAAUUGAAUUUAAAGUGCAGGAAUAAAUGACGAUGAAGACAUGUUUGCACACUCGUUCCAGAGCCAUUAAUGGAAGGAGUGUUCGCUAUUAGAUUGAAAUUGGGAAUUUCUUUGCCGCGGCAAAAACCUAUGGAUGAUUUGAUCUAUCAGCCGGAUUCGUUUCGAAUGAACUUUGGCACUUUUCUAUCGAAAGUCCGCGAUUCGUAAUUCAUCAUCAUUCAGAGUGACGUCUACAUUAUUGUAAACGUUCUUACUCCGCGUUCGCGUUUACCAACAUUUAUACAUAUAUAUAUAUAUAUAUACAUAUGAAAAAUAUCUCCUUCGUAAUUUUUCAAUUUUAAAAAUUACUUCAUACCUGCGUUUCAAUAAAAAUGUUAUAUAAUUUUUCCUCAUUGACAUUUAAAGAUCGCGUUUGAUUAAUAUUCUACGUUAUUUCAUAGUAGAUAAGAAGAAGAUAAUAGAGUUGCAUCCAAUCUCAUCCCAAUAAUUAAUUCGUUAAUAAGACGCAACAAUAAGAAAUAUUCGUAAGAGAUGAAUUUGGAUUCCACGAAAUCGAAAUCGCACUUUUUGAAAGCUCCGCGAACCUUUGCCUAAAACGAAUUCGAAAAAUCCCAUCCAUUUCCCACCCAUUUCUCUCGCGGUAAUUAUAUCGAAUCGAAGGGGCGAUAAGCGCCAAGAAACGCUAACAAUAUUGGCCAGGACAUUACGGUCGCCUUUUAAUAACCACGGCUAGUUUACUGUCCGCGGUAAUGCCAAUCUAAUCUACCUUUUACGCCGUGGUUACACCUACACGCCUGGCAGGAAGUGUACCCUCGCCACGCCGCGUUAUCCUUAUUUACGCCGCUCUUGAUACUAUAUUGCCGAUAGGUCUUUAUCUACGCAGCGGUGAAUAAAAACCGCCUCACCUCUUGGAUAAAUCCGCGGCGCGGAUUUACUGCUCGCGGGGGAAGCGAGGCCUAUUCCCGCGCCUUUCCUUCUCUUCUCCGAAGCCGCCGAUCUCCGGUUACACGGUGCCGAUCCGAGGGAGAUACGGUGGUGAGGAAACAAGUGUAAAGAGCGAUGUAAAGCGUGGUAAUUAUGCGAUACAACCGGCCCACUCGCAACGAGACGUGUAGCUCAUGUCGGAGUUGGACGCGAGCUCGUCAACCUCGAGGAAGUUGGGAUCGUAAAGAUGAACAGAACGGUGAUUGACACUCUUU